ACUGUAAAUAUGGAUGCUCUAAAAUCUAAGUUUCUUUUAAACAGCGCGCCAAUUGUUGAUGCUAAGGAAGGAAUUGAUUGGAGAAGGCACAUCGAUCCGUCAAUGAAAGAAGUUACAUUUAAUGCAAAGUAUGACAAACUCGUUUCUGCUUCGAUUGGAUAAAAAAUCCAUUUAAAACGAAGCAUCAAAGAGCACAUAAAAAUAUGUUGUCUGGCUGUGUUGAGCCAGCUCAUAUCAGUAAAUUUCAAUUUGAUAAUCAACUAAAAA